GACGAACGCUGGCGGCGUGCUUAACACAUGCAAGUCGAACGAAGAGCGACGGAAGCUUGCUUCUAUCAAUCUUAGUGGCGAACGGGUGAGUAACGCGUAAUCAACCUGCCCUUCAGAAGGGGACAACAGUUGGAAACGACUGCUAAUACCGCAUACGAUCUAACCUCGGCAUCGAGGAUAGAUGAAAGGUGGCCUCUACAUGUAAGCUAUCACUGAAGGAGGGGAUUGCGUCUGAUUAGCUAGUUGGAGGGGUAACGGCCCACCAAGGCGAUGAUCAGUAGCCGGUCUGAGAGGAUGAACGGCCACAUUGGGACUGAGACACGGCCCAGACUCCUACGGGAGGCAGCAGUGGGGAAUCUUCCGCAAUGGACGAAAGUCUGACGGAGCAACGCCGCGUGAGUGAUGACGGCCUUCGGGUUGUAAAGCUCUGUUAAUCGGGACGAAAGGCCUUCUUGCGAAUAGUGAGAAGGAUUGACGGUACCGGAAUAGAAAGCCACGGCUAACUACGUG
rnacentral:rRNA from 1 species